AGCAGCCGCGGUAAUUCCAGCUCCAAUAGCGUAUAUUAAAGUUGUUGCAGUUAAAAAGCUCGUAGUUGAAUUUCGGGAUCAAUACGUCGGUCGUGCUUCGGUACGUACUGGUGUCAUUGAUUUCUCCCUUCUGACGAACCAUGAUGUCAUUAACUUGGUGUCAUGGGAAAUCAGGACUGUUACUUUGAAAAAUUAGAGUGUUUAAAGCAGGCUCACGCUUGAAUACAUUAGCAUGGAAUAAUGAAAUAGGACGUUCGAUCCUAUUUUGUUGGUUUCUAGGAUUGACGUAAUGAUUAAUAGGGAUAGUUGGGGGCAUUAGUAUUCAAUUGUCAGAGGUGAAAUUCUUGGAUUUAUUGAAGACUAACUACUGCGAAAGCAUUUGCCAAGGAUGUUUUCAUUAAUCAAGAACGAAAGUUAGGGGAUCGAAGACGAUCAGAUACCGUCGUAGUCUUAACCAUAAACUAUGCCGACUAGGGAUCGGAUGAUGUUAAUUAUUUAAUGACUCAUUCGGACG
rnacentral:misc_RNA from 1 species